rnacentral:tRNA from 1 species
GCGGGGGUACCCGAGCCAGGUCUAAAUAGAGCGGAAAAGGAGCCAGACCGCCUAGGACAAGGGGGAGGACUUAAGAUCCUCUGGCGUAGGCCUCCGCGGGUUCAAAUCCCGCCCCCCGCACCA